AUCAAACGUCAAGAUACGCGCCGCGCGCGAGACGGGAGACACGCGAUUUUUACACCACAAGCAGUUCUGAUUUAUUCGGUACGGUGAUUCUAUCCACUAACGACAAACGUAGCAGUUGCUUGUGUGAUAAUUUGCGAAAUUUGCUGGAAGCAAUUGGAGCUUUAAUUUAAUAUUUGGAAUUUUUUAUAAUAUCUCGUUUUGUCGCGAAAUUAAGACGAGCCUGGAGAAAUAAUUACGUUAUGUUUUAUUGUAUUUUUGUAAUAUACUUUUAAAGAUAUUUCAAUAUUAAAUUAAGAUAAAGUAAUAUGUAUAUAUUGAGCAUAAAACGCGCGGUUUAAUUGGUGGUACGUUAGUAAAGCAACUGUUCAGUGCAUGUGUAUCAAAAUAAUUGAUAUUUUGUCAAAUUUUUGACGUAAUUAAAAUUGUUGAAAAGCGAAAACGGUAUCGCGACAAACAAGUUCAACUAAAUACGCGAUUUAACUGACGGCGACCAGCGAUUCAAUUUGGGGAGUGUGUCAAGCAUGUAACUCAAUUUAUUAAAUGCUUGAUGGUUUUAUUCAUUAUGGAUAAAUGUAAAAGUACAGCACAAUCCGAGUCUUUUACAUUGUUUGCAUUUGUCUGGAGAAAUCGCGCCGGCUCGAUCAGAGCGAUUAAAGAAAUUUAUUUAGUUUGAUAUUAUCUUAUUAAACAAAUGUGUUUCAGUAUCAACGUAUCAAUUUUAUGCGUGAUUAUUUUCUUUGUUGAUGAUAAAUAUUUAAAUAAAUAUCUUACAAUAUUAAUCUGUAAUUGAUCAAAGAAAUUGUUUAAACAGAAUGCGCCGACUAUAUGCGUUUUAAUCGCUGAAGUGUUCUAAGUGAAUAUAUCGAUCGCGUCUUGUUUGCUUUAUUUGAUUACGAUUUUGUAACUUUAAAUAAAUCAUUUUUCGCGAAUAAUUCUUUCUAUCUUUCUAUAAAAAUCGUUUCGGAGCAUGCCGAACGCCAUGUGACACAUGUGAUCUUAAAUAACGGAAAGUCAAUUGUCGGCAGCGAUCGCGUUUAAUUCUUUUCACGCGCGAUAAUUUUACACUGAGAAAUAAAUCUGUUGAAAAAUUAAAAUAUUUGGUCCGAUGCGAUUAAGUAAACAUUGGGUUGAUUCAACGAUUAUUCCGUUGCACGAAACAAGUAUAAUUUAUUCAUGUCGGUCAUUCAAAUUUUUAAAUCAAGAUUUAAUUAAACCAGCUCAAUAUUUAGUGGCACGUAUUGGACUAAUUGUAUAUAUUUUAGUUUUUUGAUAAAUCAUUUUCUCAGUGUACCUGCUAAUUUUUCCCAUGUUUGUUAUCUCGUGUCAUUGUCACGGCGCGUUUUUAAAAGUUGUUACGUACAUUGUUGCAAAGGAUAAUCACGCACCAACUUGAUUAGCUUUAAUUGAAAGCCAGUAAGAUUAUUAUUAUCGUAGUCGUCUGCAUAUUAUCACAGAAAGAACCUAUAAUUGCUCAUUAUUGGCGUAUCAAUACGUGUUAUUCCCUUUGUAUUUUUAUUCUAUCGGAUUUAUUACUGCGCGAUGUAAUUGGUACGAGUCUCGAUGUCGCUACCGAUAAUAAUCGCUCUCCUCCUUUCUCGCCAUUACGAAAUGCGUAUCGUUAUCGUAUAUCCAACAAGUCGAAUUCACGUAAAACGAGCGCGUAUCAAUCGGCAUCGUAUCAAUCCCUUAUGCCUUAUGCGAUGCCUUACCGUCAAGACGUUUCGCUUUAUCCUCGCGUGGGCGCCCAUUCGAGAGAGAUCGGUUUAUCCGCAACGUUACGUUCCGCGCUCGCAGGACAAAAGUGAUAUCUCACUGUGCUCCGCUUCGGCGUAAAAGCGCGGGACAAGAACUCUAAGUCACCGAACGGUACGGCUGAAUAAUAAAUGCGCACCAUCCCCGGUUCAAUUUCGGACCCGCAAUGAUAUAUUUUUCACGCUGCUCGCGGUGAGACAGAACCGUAUUUCAGUGACGUCCUGUAACGUUCAGCGAUAUUAAUAUAUCUGGCACGAUUAGAGUUGAAAUAUUUUCCAACGAUGAUAUUUAUACAGUCUUAUUAACGUGCAUAUGUCAUCUGAAUUUGUGUUGUUUGGCACAACGGACUUUACCGUAAUCCGAAGUCGUGUUAAUUAUUCAUAUAAAUUUUCUGUUGCUCGGUGACUGCGAAAUCUCAACGCUAGAAGUCUAGAUAACAGAUUACACACAGUUCGAUAAAGAAAACAUACUAGAAGGGCAUCAUUUUUUUAUAGUUUUCUGGACACUGGAUAUAAAUUUUCGAACUGUUUUAUCACGUCGCAACUUUAAAAAAUUAAAUAUGUCGGGAUUUUCAACUCUCAGAAAGAAUUCGGAAAAUUUCCGUGUUGGAUAUUAUUGAGUUAUUAAAUACGCGUCAAUUUCCGUUCGGUUUUAGUUCAAGUUCUCUUUUUUGUAAGGUGGCAUUCCCACUUUUCUGCAUGUAGACAUAGUGGUGGGAGUUAGGCUGGAUUUUCUGUUGCCUGAGACUGAGCGCCCUGAGUGGCACUUCUUUUUCUGAUUUCUGACAAUAAAGACGUAUUGUAACAUUCACUAGGGAGUCUUUGAGUGUCUAUUAUUCAAACAUUAACACGUUCCAUAUCACACAACGCGACAAUCUCAAUAGAUAUGAUUAAUAAAACAUUCAUGAUUAAAUAUAGAUCAUUAACAAAUGACCAAUUUAUGACCUUCAUUCACGUUUAUUUUUUAUAGUUUUCUGGACACUGGAUAUAAAUUUUCGAACUGUUUUAAACUUAACGAGUUUUUAAACCGUUGAAUGCGAAUUCGAUUUCAAAAUUAACAAAGUUAAAAUGAAUUUAAUAUGAUGGAUGUCAGAACUUAAUAAAUGUUUGAAUUUUUGUAUAAAUUUAUGUAUAGAAAUCUUUCAUGGUCCUGAAUACGAAUCCAAUGUCAAAUUAAGAAAUUUAAAAUGAUUAGUACAGCCAAUGAAAAUUAAAUCAUGUUUGAAGUCUAAUAAAGAAUCAAAUGUAUGGAUUUUUCACAUACUAUAUGUACUUCGUACACGGAAAGAACGAACGGUUUUAUUGAAAUAACUUAAAAAUUUAAUAUACAGAUUUGAAAAUAAUUUAGUUAAACCAUCAAAAUUUGGCAAGAAAAGUCAUAUUAUUCUUCUUCUAAGUAAAUGAGAGGUAUUUUUUUCAUACACAGCAAAAACUUUCAUUUACAUAGAAAGCAAAAUGACAUGACUUUUUUGCCUACGUAAUAAUCACGUAGGAGUUGAUUGCUAGAAGGUUUAAAAUUUUUUGUAGCACUGCUCAUCACGUUUGAGCGUCUUACAUAAUUAUUUUGAUAACUCAAUAAAAUUAUUUUCAGAUCUGUAUCUAGCUAAAUUUCUACAUUCUUCAAUGUGUGUAUUUAACUAUGAAUAUCUUGUUAACCGCAGCCGACACAAAAAAUUUCUUUUGAAGGCUAAAUGUCCUAACAACAUACUUAAUUUUGAUUGCAAUGAAACUUCUCCAAUAUAUCACACCGUUAGAAUAUGACAAGGUAUGUGAAAACAGCUCUUUUUUGCGAUUUUAAUUGCAGAUUUCUUAAAAUUGUGACGUGAUGGAACAAUUUGGAAGCCAGAUUCGUAUUCAGCGCCCAAAAACUAUAAAAAAUCACUAAUUUUAUUCUGGUGUUUAAAAAAACAGUUUUUUUUUGUUGGACUGUGUUUUACGACUAAAUAAAAAAAGAUAAAAAAGUCAUUGUACAUUAAACGAGAAUCUUCCACACAAUAAUGUAUGAAUCAAAUAUGAUGGAAUAUCCCACGCUUACAUAUGCAAAAAGCAUUAUUUUGCUAAAGUUUCUAAAAAUUCCAUUACAGAGAGAAAUCUGAAAAUGAUUGUAUUGAAUAAUUAAAAUAAGUAUAUUGGACAUUUUAGCUGACAACUAAAAUGUCAAAACUUCUCGCAGGAAUAUCACCGUGGUCGAACGUUCUACAUAAUAUUUUUAGUUCUAUAUCUAAAUUUUUAGAUACUUUAAUAAAUGAUUCAUUUCAUGUACAAUGUCUGAAUACAGGGUGUUCCCGCAUUUUUCGUACAAACAGAAUGUUCUAUGAACUAAAGUGAGAAAAAAAUAUAAACAGUCCUGAAAUGAUUGAUUAAAAAGUUAUAUUGAAAAUAUGAAGUCACAGUUGCGAUGAUAUUACUUUUAUUAGUUCAUUUCUUGAUGUGAGAUAAACUCGUGUUCGAUAAACUUAGUAUUUACUAUUUGAAACGAUGCGGCACAAGAUAAACGACAAGUGAUACACUGUAAGUUGUGAGUGAUCCGAUGAUGUUUAUCUUGUUCUUCUAAUCGUGUUUGUACUAUUUGAAAUGAUUGAAUUCAACAUUCAUUCGUCGAUUACAUCGAUGCCAAGCUUGGGCGAACGACAUUUUGAGACGCAAACUCAAGUGAAAAAUCGUUUCUUGCAAAUUUCAUAUUUUUGCUAUAAUUUUACGAUGAAGCAUUUUAAAACCCAUGUUUACAUAACUUUUUUUCCUUCUUUCGUAGAACAUACUGUUAAAGUUUGUUUAAAAAGUCCAGACGCAUCCUGUUUAUUGCUCAACUCUUUUUCUCUUCUUAAUUACGUAAUUAAAGAAAAAUAAAGCUGAAGAAACUUAAUGCUUUUCUAGCUUCUCAAAUCUUUAAACAUUUUGCUCUCGUGUCACGUAACGUACAACACACAAAAUAUUGCUCAAUCAAUCAAUAUUGCAGAGUUCGCCGUUAUCCGCUAGAAUCGAUUCAUACAGUUUACAAAUUAAUUAGUUGGAUUGUACGACGCAAUCCGAAACGUGAUCUCGCGCCGCGAACCGCAUUGAAUCCGCACGAGGACACUAUCGACCAGCUACCGUGUAGCCGUAUCAUUCAAAUAUUGACAGCUGCAUUCUACGGGUCGCCACCGGUAUUCCUCGUAUCGCCGAUUUUUAUCGCGAACCGCCGAUCGAUACGGCCUCAGUCGUGUCGGCCGAGACGGCGCGCGGCGGCAGCGGCGAUGGUGGCAGCUCCAUUGCCGAGGAUGUGCUCUUUCACAUUCGUCCGAGAAGUCGCUCGUUUCUCGCGCGAACGUUCGUGCAUGUCGGUCUGAUUUUAUGAUAACGUUGGUCGGCUACCAAAUCGCCGAGCAAAUAUGACUUGUACGAUACUUUAUUCCCGCACCCCCCGCGCAGCCCCAUUUCCCGAUUUUCCGCUCCCUCGACCGCAUAUUUUGUUUGCUCGUUGAUCUUCACGAAUUUGUAUGUACGCUUUCCGCACGUUGUCGGAGGGAAAAUGUAUCGCGAGCACGCCGCGAAAUAUGGCGGGCUUUGCGCGCACUAAAGCAAGGUCAAAAUUUGCAUCCAUCUCCAUUUAUGGUCAAUUCAUCGCCCGGCGCGUUACAGUCAACGUUUUAAUAGUUAACAACUCUUUUACAUCCGCGUUUUCACGCGAUGUUGAACGAGAUACGCAGAUACAAACCACUUUAUCUUAUUUUUAUUUAAAUGACAUACAAAUUAAUGAUAAAAUAGCACGUUCGUAUGACGCAUAAAUUAAAUGGCAAUCAACGCAUUAUUUAUAAUUAGUGUCAUUCAAAUCAAUUUGCCGUGAUAAUUCAAAUGUUUGACGCUUUUGCUUUUAAUAGAGUUGCGCGUAUCCAAUAUUUGAUGCGAUAUUGUACAUAGCAUUUUAUUACUUUUGCCUCCUCCUUUUGCGUAAAUCUUAUGAAAUGUAUAUCGUAAGCAUGGAUUUACAGCGAAGAGAACAUUAAAAAGAUCACCAGAAGUAACAAAAGAAGACAAUAGAAUUCAUUUCGCUCGAGCGGUUUGAUCAUCUGCGCAAUUAUAUCGCGAUACGAAUUUAUUUACUUAUAUAACCGUUGUUCCACAUCGUUUUUGUUAUUAGACGCGUUAAAGAAAGUGGUUUCUUGCUCGCGAUAGCACGGACCACGAUAUUCGCGCACAUAACAGUAUGAAAUGGACUAAAACGCAACAUUUUUCUCUCUCUUUUUUUAAAUAGAUUUAGAGAUUCCACUUUGAUUAAAAAAAUACAUAUACUUUGCACAUUACAAUUACAUGUAUUUUUUUUAUUUUAUAUGAAAGACGCGUCGAUUUUUUUGUAAUAUUAUACCAUGUUAUGGCUGUAAUCGUCCAUGAAGAACGCGUAAAUUUCGCGCAAUAACUAAAUUCGACGAAGUAUAUAACUGCGGCAAUUGUGUGACUAAACCCUCCGAGUAUUCGCUGUAGCGGGAAAAAACGUCGGGGCUUUAUGCGGAACAGCUUAACGAAGCUGGUAAGAAUCUUGCACAAAGAAAGGCGAAUUACGUGUCGGUCGAGUGGAAGGAAAUUUAAAUUCCUAAACGAAAAGUAAAAGACCAAGUGACGUGUUACACUUAGAAAGCUAAUUGUAACAAGAGGACAUGCGGCUAUUGAAAUAUUUAUCUUUUAAUAAAUUAUAUCACAGUUCUAUCGGUUUUCGUUACAUACUCCAAAAUUUUGAGUGACAUAUGUAGUGCUUAAGGAUGUUUGUGGAUCAUGUCUCAAAACAUUACCAAAAAUAUAACAAUUUCGUAGAAUGUUUUAGUAUUACGUUUGAGUAUAAUUGUAGCUCAAUUCAUUUACUGUUUUAAAAGUUGUUUAGUUUUUUCUUCACUCUUGAUUCUUACGUAAAAUCGCGUUUUGCAGUAUUUAUUUACAAAAUUUGAUGGGAAAGUAUCGUUACCAAUUAAAUCCAAAUUUUUACAUACACUAAUAAAACUCUAAUCAAAAUUUAUUUAGAUCUGAAUUCUCGCUGCAUUAUAUAAAUCAAACUUUUCAUUGUUUUCUUCUUUGCAGCUAGUUUGAAAGUCAAAAUUUGGGCAUUUGCAAUUACAAUUUUUGUUGUUUAGGAAAAAAAAAUCCUAGAGAAAUCCUCAGUUUUUAAAUUUCGAUAACUUUUAGUUCGUAUUGUACAGUCAAAACAUCCUAGCACUUAAUGCAUCCUUUUCCGGAUCAUUAUUAGACUCCACAUUUGUCACUAAUUUUCAUCACUUUACGAGUAUAAAAAAAAUUAUGAAGUGUGACUCUUACAUGUUUCAACUUUCCAUACUUCAUUUCUAAUACUUUCAAAUACUUCCAUUUCUAGGAAGUAUUUGUAUGGUUAUUCAUUAAAAAAAAAAUUGUACAUAAAUGUUAUAACUAAUGUAACUAAAAUAUGCUCUAUAUUUUGGUUGACCUAAUAAUUAUAUAUAUGUUAGUACAUAUUUUAUAAUUAUUAAAUUUAUGUUUUUAUAUAAAAGAGAGUAUGUGUAUAAAAUGUAUAAAAUUAUUAGGCCAAUCAAAAUAUGUUAAAGCAUAUUUUGAUUGUGUCCCAGUUAUAACUAAUCGUAAUCGACAAGAUAUUUUGAAAGAAGAAAAGUGCGCGGGUCCCACAAUGACCAAAGGUGUUUGUUGAGUAUUAAUGUCGAGUGUCGUAAAAAAUCAUAAAGAUAUCAAUCGCCUCGUAUUCGAGAUUCAAUUAGGAAGUUCUCGGAUCUUUAAGCCGAACAAUAAUCUUUGUUAAUUGGCGCGGCCGAGCUAAAUAGCCGCUAAUGAAAACGCGGGGCAAUUAAUAAGGCCUCAGGAAAGUCAACUCGAUUGUCCUCUCGCCGGAAUGGCUCGCGUUAAAUCUGCAGGCUGGAUUUCCGCGCGGAUUUCACAACUUUCGUUUCGAGUUCACGUUAAUCGCGAAUUACGAGUCGCCGUGGCGAGGACGAGGAUGGCGUUCGGAUUUAUCGAUAAUCGCGUCCCCGUUUGCCAGCCGCCACCGCUCGAGAGGCGCAAUUUGCCGGGAUGGAGAGACGGUAGAAAAUGUCUGCCUCGCGGUCUACCUCGCGACUAUGACCUUGAUUUACGAUCUUUCGCUGACCCUAACGUCAACCGAGCACGGCCGGCCGCUCUCACGUACCGCCAUCAAAAUGAUCACGUUUACAUCGGACGGCGGUCGGCAGCGCGAGAAUUCCACGUGUUCCGCAUUUAAGCCCGACGACGAUGACGACGACGAUUUCCGUCAUAUUCCCGCAUAAUUUACGAAUACACCGCUUGCUGGCGACGCGACGACACACACACACACACACACACACACAUACACACGCGGUACAGAUCAGUCGGGCAUAUGCGCGCUGAUUGUAACGAAUUAAUCCGCGGCCUGUGUGUUACACGCCGAAUUACGCGUUAUGUUAAGCGCGGAAUGUAUUGAUACGCGAAACGCUUUGUGCGAAAAUUUAAUUGUACGGGUUUCUCGUAUCGCCAAUUAUGAACGUGACGUUGAAACGCGCGCGUUGUGUCUAAAAUAACCUUCGUAUCGCGGUUUUACAAUGGACAUUUGAAACGGUUAAUUUCGAACGAGCCAAUGUUAAACUGCUUUAAUUACUCAUUAGCUCGUUAGUUAAUACCGAUUCGAAAAAUUAAAACCCUACUUUGGACUUUUUAUAAUGUUAUUAUGAUAAGUAUCGAGUAGCAUUGCGUGUGUGCUCCUCUAUAACAUUUGGAACAUCCGAAUCUAGUUUUACUUGGAAAGGUAGGAAAUUUUCACCUGCGAGACUUGAAAAGUCGUCGGGAUUUCUCUUUUGGCGAGAUUUAAUUUUGAUAUUACAGGAUUAUAAAUAUGUAUAAUUUAUAGACUAUAAUUUAUGAAAUUCUCCCUCUCUCCCCUCCACUUUCGAAGUUUCUCCGAUUCGGAAUAUCGUUUCGAGCACGUCGGGUUGUCGUUAAUUAAACAUCUCAGGUAUCGCCAGUGGUAUAUAAUAAUCGGCAUAAAUAUUCAGUAUCAAUUAAUUAAUAGGGGGAUUAGUUCACGCGAGCCCCGUUGAUCUCCCCACACGCGAUCACGCAUCGGCCGUGCGAGGAAAGUCCAGACAUGCCCCGUUCUUAUCCAGCGCGCGCGAUCGUAAUCAGCGAUUACUCGAUUCAGUGCUACGUGGCAAGAAUCGCGAACGGGGCGAGCCAACGAAGCCAAAUAGACUCGCGGACGCGAUCGUUGCGAAACGCUCGCAUGUAUGUACAUGCCGUACACACAUGUGUGCAUCCGGGACAGCCGUCGAGAUGUGCAGCGUCCGUCGUCGCGUCGGGACGGGUUGUGCGCGUCGAGCAAAUUUUACUUCGGCUUGUCACCAGAGACUACCACAUUAUACGCGAGAGCACUAGUUAUGCCUCACUUUCUCACGAUGUAGAUUGAGAUGUACACGAGAUCUUUCCGUAGGUAGGAAUGCCACUGUCCGGCGUGCUAUCAUUCGUGGCACGCGAGUUUCUACGGAUCGCGUAGAGGCGCAGCCGGAAUUUUUAAACCCGGAAAUAAAUCGCGGACUGUCGCACUCGC